rnacentral:tRNA from 1 species
GCGGGAAUAGCUCAGUGGUAGAGCUCCACCUUGCCAAGGUGGAUGUCGCGGGUCCGAGUCCCGUUUCCCGCU